rnacentral:pre_miRNA from 1 species
UACAGUGAUCAGGUUACGACGGAUUUCUGUAACAACCACCUCGUAGCUCGAUCACCAUCUC